CCUACGGGAGGCUGCAGUGAGGAAUAUUGGUCAAUGGACGCAAGUCUGAACCAGCCAUGCCGCGUGCAGGAAGACGGCUCUAUGAGUUGUAAACUGCUUUUGUACGAGGGUAAAUCCCGAUACGUGUAUCGGGUUGCAAGUAUCGUACGAAUAAGGAUCGGCUAACUCCGUGCCAGCAGCCGCGGUAAUACGGAGGAUUCAAGCGUUAUCCGGAUUUCUUGGGUUUAAAGGGUGCGUAGGCGGUUCGAUAAGUUAGAGGUGAAAUCCCGGGGCUCAACUCCGGCACUGCCUCUGAUACUGUCGGGCUAGAGUUUAGUUGCGGUAGGCGGAAUGUAUGGUGUAGCGGUGAAAUGCAUAGAGAUCAUACAGAACACCGAUUGCGAAGGCAGCUUACCAAACUACGACUGACGUUGAGGCACGAAAGCGUGGGGAGCAAACAGGAUUAGAUACCCGGGUAGUC
rnacentral:rRNA from 1 species